AUGCAAAUUGUAUCUGAUCAAUGGUGGGGCCGUGAGGAUGGCAAAAAGAAAAUGCAUUGGCGGUCCUGGGAGUGGCUCUCUACUCCGAAGUCCCUCGGGGGCAUGGGCUUCAAGGAUUUGGCGCUCUUCAACCAAGCUAUGUUGGGCAAACAAGGAUGGAGGCUUCUGACUGACCCUGAUUCUUUGUGUGCUCGAGUUCUAAAGGGAAUGUAUUUUCCUUUUGGUGAUUUUUGGAAUGCUUCUGCUCCCAGUUCUGCCUCGGCUACUUGGCGUGCUAUUUUGCAUGGGAGGGAC
rnacentral:rRNA from 1 species